AUUGAACGCUGGCGGCAGGCCUAACACAUGCAAGUCGAACGGUAGCACAGAGAGCUUGCUCUCGGGUGACGAGUGGCGGACGGGUGAGUAAUGUCUGGGAAACUGCCCGAUGGAGGGGGAUAACUACUGGAAACGGUAGCUAAUACCGCAUAACGUCGCAAGACCAAAGUGGGGGACCUUCGGGCCUCACACCAUCGGAUGUGCCCAGAUGGGAUUAGCUAGUAGGUGGGGUAACGGCUCACCUAGGCGACGAUCCCUAGCUGGUCUGAGAGGAUGACCAGCCACACUGGAAAUGAGACACGGUCCAGACUCCUACGGGAGGCAGCAGUGGGGAAUAUUGCACAAUGGGCGCAAGCCUGAUGCAGCCAUGCCGCGUGUAUGAAGAAGGCCUUCGGGUUGUAAAGUACUUUCAGCGGGGAGGAAGGCGGUGAAGUUAAUAACUUCACCGAUUGACGUUACCCGCAGAAGAAGCACCGGCUAACUCCGUGCCAGCAGCCGCCGCAG
rnacentral:rRNA from 1 species